rnacentral:rRNA from 1 species
GGAGCUGCAACUCGACUCCAUGAAGCUGGAUUCGCUAGUAAUCGCGCAUCAGCCAUGGCGCGGUGAAUACGUUCCCGGGCCUUGUACACACCGCCCGUCAAGCCAUGGGAGUCGGGAGUGCCUGAAGUUCGUGACCGUCACAGGAGCGACCUAAGGCAAGACCGAUGACUGGGGCUAAGUCGUAACAAGGUAAC